CCUACGGGGGCAGCAGUAGGGAAUUUUGCGCAAUGGGCGAAAGCCUGACGCAGCAACGCCGCGUGAUCGAGACGCCCUUCGGGGUGUAAAGAUCUGUCAGCGGGGACGAAACUUGACGGUACCCACAGAGGAAGCACCGGCUAACUCCGUGCCAGCAGCCGCGGUAAUACGGAGGGUGCAAGCGUUGUCCGGAAUCAUUGGGUGUAAAGAGUUCGUAGGCGGCACGUAAAGUCUGGUGUUAAAGGCAGGGGCUCACCUUCUGUACGGCACUGGAUACUUGCGGGCUAGAGUGCGGUAGAGGUAGAGGGAAUUCCUGGUGUAGCGGUGAAAUGCUUAGAUAUCAGGAGGAACAUCGGUGGCGAAGGCGCUUUACGGGGCAGUAAUUGACGCUGAGGAACGAAAGCCAGGGGAGCAAAUGGGAUUAGAUACCCUAGUAGUC
rnacentral:rRNA from 1 species